rnacentral:tRNA from 1 species
GGAGAGGUGGCUGAGCGGCCGAAAGCGACGGUCUUGAAAACCGUUGAGGGGCCACCAUCCGUGGGUUCGAAUCCCACCCUCUCCGCCA